rfam:Schistosoma mattheei strain Denwood, Zambia genome assembly, scaffold: SMTD_scaffold0011269
GCACCGCUGUGGAGUCCCACAAUAGGACAAAACGGCCGUCCAGUGC